GACUGCUGACCACCUCUGCCUCCAGCCACAUCCCUCCAGCCUACCUCAAGACUGAGAACCUUUGUUUUGUGAGAAAAUGUCAAAAUCCAGGCAGCCUUGAGAAUCCUGGAGGGGGAGAGGAUCAGGCUUGGUGGCAAAUUUUCCCAGGCAGAAGGAAGACUUUCCUAUCUGAGCUCCAGAUCUGGGAAAUGGCCAUUCAGUAACACAGAGCCUGAGGGUCUUGCCAUCAAUACAUAUUGAUCACUUAACAAAGCCAGUCUUUGAGCUAUGAAAGGCCUUUGAUUAAAAUUUCACUUGGCAGCCUCGUGGAUUAGACAUCUUCAUGAACACUGGAACCCCCUGAUAUGAAAAAGGAAAGGAAAUGAGGAGGCAGUAACCUAAGGUAAAACUCCAUACCACAUAGGGAGAUAGCUGAUAUUACAAAUAAAUGCUACUGUGGAUGAGUCAGCUGCUGAGGAGGGGAGCACUGUUCAAGUAACUGUCUGUGGAAAGAAAGAAAAACUCUUUUGAGAUUCACCAGAAAGGAAGAAAGCAGCACUUUAUUUAGCUGUAAAGCAGCAGUUGUGAUCAGAGGUGACAGAGGAAGGUUUUCUUGAUGCAAGUGAUCCAUUCUGGCACUUGGAGGCUGCUAAGAAUAUCUAGAAGAUAACUCCUCUGUCCCCUCUGAGAAUAUUGCUGUCUGAUGCAACAUUGCAGGCUCCAGGAUGGGAAGAUGAGAACCACUGCACCCUUAACCCUCUUCUACCAAAGCAUGUGAUAGCUGUCAGGUAUAAAGAAACCACAAUGGAAGCACAACAUGGAAGAGGGUUAUUUGGGUUUUACUGACAAUUCCUGCUUGCUUUCUUCCCCUGAGGAAUGUGUGGUCCCAGAUUUGACUCCCAGCUCUGAGCCAAGUGCAGCAGAUUCCUUUGAAGUCCUCCUGAAGCAGGAUUCUUAAUGCCCAAGGGAAAAGCUUCUCCUCUCUCCAUUUGCAAGAACACAGUUCCCUCCCAGUGAAACCUAAUGAUCACCUCCAACCUGUUCAUCUGGCCUGCAGUUUGGGCACAUGCUCAGAUCUGAAGUAGACAUCAAGUAUUUGGAAGUCCCAGUCAAACACAACUCUAAGUACUUUGCUGUACGAAGACAGCUUAGGCAUAUACAGAAAGCAAACUUUAGCAAAGCCUGGGGUGACUCCAUGCUACUGCAUUAAAAAUAGGAACACUUUUGUUUCAAACAUGUCUGUAGCUGCUUCUAACCCAGGGAAAGAACUGUGUUAUCUAUCAUUCAUAGAGCUCUUAACCUUUAGGAGCAGCACACGUUGUGCACUAUGUAUAUUUAUCCAUUAAAAAAGCCUGUAGGUUCAUUUUUCCUCUCUGACAUGAAAAAUGUGGAUGGAAGCACUAAAGGCUUAGAGUGUCUCUGUGAUUUGCUUGCAAAAGUAAACACGAGCCAAUACUGUAACCAGAUCACAUACUUGCAGUGGAACAAAGUGACUGAUUUCA